rnacentral:tRNA from 3 species
UGGCCCCUUGGUCAAGUGGUUAAGACACCGCCCUUUCACGGCGGUAACACGGGUUCGAAUCCCGUAGGGGUCAU